rnacentral:misc_RNA from 1 species
UCUUCUUCUACAGACGGGAAACGAACAUGAAGAACGCCAACCGCCCCAGGGCGUCCGUGAGCUUCGCUCGGGAGCGAAUCGUGUCAACCGCUGCGGCGUCAGCCACGAAGGGGCCUGCGAUGCAGUUCGUCUCCAAGGGAGCGCGAAGCGACAUGGAGCUGGUUUUUGACCGACUUCAUGCUCUAGACAAGUCCGCCCAGUCUGACACCAUUAGUGGUAAGGGACUGGCACAAUUCCUGAGUGAGGUCGGCGUCGAGGAGUCGUCCUUAGAGUGCAUGGUGCUCCUGUGGAAGUUGGGCGCCACUCAGAAAGGCUGCAUCACGCGGUCUGAGUGGCUAAUAUCCGUGUAUGCCCACGGCAUCGAGUCCAUCGUACAGAUGCGCCAAAACGUCACCGAAUGGGUAAAGGAUGUUCGCGAGAGCGGCGGCUCUUUUCUGCUCAUGUACAACUAUCUGUACGACUACAUCCGCGGCGAGGAGGAUCGCCGCAUGACGCUGACAACUGCACUCAGCGCGUGGGACGUCUUUUUCAGCAAGAACGACCUCUACGCAAAGUGGAAGGCAUGGGCAGUGGCCAACGUCAAGGGCGGCGUUUCCCGUGACCUUUGGCGGCAGCUCGGAAUCUUCUUCACGAUGGACACGACUGCCGCGCAACGCUUCGGCGACCAGAUCUCUGCUCUGCCGUGGCCAUCGGCAAUCGCUGACUUUCUCGACCAGGGCGGUGUGCCGGCCUCGUGAUUUGGCGCACUGAUGGCAUGUGAGGAGACGCUCAUGCACAUGUGGUCUUGAAACACUCAAACCCGUUUUGUUAAAGCUGGGGAGGAGGUGAAGAAGCAGCGGCAUCUGUGGUGUUGGGGUCAUCGUGGAUGUAUUUAUUUUAUUUCUCUUGUCUGCGGCUCUGUGGAUCUUCUCAGCCCAUCCCCAUUCCUCUUCGAUGGUGCAUACGAAAUAUCUUUCUCCGCUAUUUGUGAUGGACCGAUAUCGACUCG